CAAAAGAAAGGCAGUGUCCUACGGUCCGCGCAGUAGUUACGUUGGGGACCGAGGAGACGGCAUCGCGGUAUCGGUAAAAGCGCUUCCGCUCUCUCCCUCGCUCUUCUUCUUGUCCGCUGGGCAGCGCGGUACCUCAAGGAUUACGUCGGUUAGGCGUCUAGAUGCUUAAAACUCCUCCAGCCUCUCUCGUACCACAGCCUUCCAAGCGGCCGUCAACCCUGUUCCGCUUGCCGCCACCUCCACCGCGACGUGCUGCCUUAUCAAAACUCGCCCCUGUUCGCCGAGACGGGCAGCAGUCCUCGCCAUUACAACUCACCGGUUCCUGUUUAGACGUCGCCAUGCGGCCGCCGCCGAUACUCGCCGCUUCUUACUUAUACGUCACGCCACGUUCGUCGUCGCCACUCUUUCCUCUCGAGCGGAGGGUGUAGACUCGACAGGUGCCCGAGGACCAACCUUAUUCUCCAACGCCUAACCACGACGACCGGGGUCGUUCCGCGGAACGCGAUGGGCAUAACAAGCGGCUUUUCGGCUGCCUAUUACAUUAGUGACGUCACGACCCAUGAUGGAAACUGAGCGAACCUAUUCGUAUGCUAAAGAUGUCGAACAUAAGGACCCUCUUUCCUAAACUAUAUUCUAUACCAUUUUCGGCCGAUUUACACCUCUCCUACUUCACGUACGUCCUUUAACAAACGCCUACAAACCUUUUCGAUCACACCUCUUGUGUUCCAGGACAGUCACACUUACGGCUCGCAAUUAUUCCGACAAUACCUAUCUCCUGUUACCAACCAUAUAGCGUCUCGUAGCUCUCUCGGUAUUGGUGAGCGAAAGCGGUUUAAAGCCACUCUGUUAAGUGACCAGUAGGGUGUUCGUGAAACUACACAUGUCGUCCCUAAACUCUUUCGUAAACGCCGUCUUAUUACAGUUGGAUCGAUUCCACAUAUCGUAUCAUCCGUAUAAAAAACCUAGCUACUUUUUACACGGUAAAUGCUUCUCCAGAAACACAUUAGAAACGCCGGUCUAAUCGUCCCUUGUUAGUCUACUAUUACAUUCCUUUUGUUACCUCCAAAAACGUCUUUAACCCCGUUUCCUGGGAGUAAAGUUUAUGUCUCAAGUCGGACUGUUUCUCCCGCCCUAGUUCUUGGAAUACACCCGUUCGCCCUCGUUAUCCAACGUCAUGUGUAAAAGGCCAUCACGUAAUUGUAAACUGUGUUGGAUGUACUGUUUAAACAUACUGUACGGAAAGUCUGAUAAACAACCACACUUGUUGGUAAAAGUCUCUCACUAGGGCCGACCUAACUAACACACACCGCUUUGACAGCUCUCAAAGUUUACCCAAAAGAGACUUAAAGAGUCUUAGUACCCACCGCGACGUGGUUUUUUGAUAUGAAUGACUGGUCUUAGCCCGAUACCUUCACCGCAAGUUCUUGUAUUACGGUCUAUGAUACGUGACGACCACAUUCACCGUGCACGAUUUAUUUCAGUUUCUUAGCAACCCGGAGACGUGUGGUUCUUCUCACUUAAGACUCGUCUCAAGGCGUUUUCACCACUUAGUGUACGACUGCCACCCACUUAAACUCUUUCUGACCCUUAACAACGAACGAUUUAUGUACUACUCCAGCGUAGGUAUAUACUGCUUGGAUAAACUCUAGUCCCUCUUUUACCCGCUUCGGCAUAAACUUUCCUCACAAAACACGGUUCUAUCGCUCGUGCGUUUCAUCACUUUCACGCUUGGUAUACAAUUUCUUAAUACAGGGAGGUCCUACAGGUUACGAAUACAAAGAAAUCUUCAUAUACUCCGAUGAGAAACUGUCACUUCGCCUUCUCUUGAUACUUCUCUUCGCUUGUUCUUAACCCUCCGGAAACAAUUCUCGUUUGAACCGUCAACUUUCUGUACGACCUUUCUAUAUAUGUUCCCGGUACAAACUCCUUAAACCCGUAUAUAACAUACUCACAGCUCAAUUGGUUCACCUUCUUUAACUCUUUGUAUUCGACAUACAACGUUAAGUGUAACUCCGACUGUUUUCUCUCUUCACCACGUCCCACAGUAUACUCCAUUUUCAACGAUCUGCCUCCAGUGCUUAAACUUACACUUACGCCCGUCAAACUUGUGUACCCCGACGACACGUCGGUACACAACUUCCAGGAUCUGAAGUAGGCUCGAUUUCUUUAGGGUCAAUUCGUAUGUCAUUUUUCCACCUCUUUCCUACGAACUCUAUAUGACGGAUUCCUGGAACACGUUAUAGUCUUUCUUCUGUACGUAUUUUUAGGUAAGAGUAUGUCUGUGAAGUGGUAUAUAUACGUACGCUACCUUGAUCGGGCGGACCCGCUAUGUUCACACCUCCGUAUGUUGGCAAACUACCCCGAUAAGUUUCGUUUGGACCGUCUCUACAACGGUCUACGGCUUCCCUCUCUACCGGAACCAGAGCUCCUAUCCGAACGACUAUUCCCUCCACGACACUUAGUCUACCGUAGCAGGUACCGCCGGCUUCAUCACUUGUUAUCACCAGUCAUACGGCCUUCGUUCCGGCCUAUUCUUGUUGAACGGGUCUGGCUCCUCUACAUGGUUUCGUCGGCUCCUUCGGCCGAUCCAUAUUCUUAACGCCUCACCUCCCAGCGGUCUCCUUAUUAACAUUUUCCGUUAACUAGAAUCCAAUCAUCCACCUUACAUCAACGACCGACUAGUUUGAUUACUUAAUAGACAACUGUACAAGAGGUAUUACCAAGUCACAAAGCUACAAGUACACAACCCCACAUUCGAGCUAUGAAACCAUUACGACCACCUUGACUUUGUUCACGACAUACUACCCACUUUGUACGUUUUAGACACAUGUAAUCGACCUUCCGUCAGACAUUAAAGGGAACAAUAAGAGAACCAAGUACUGUACAC
rnacentral:rRNA from 1 species